rnacentral:lncRNA from 1 species
ACUUAUCACACCCCCCAACCUACAUUUUGCUAGUCCUCGAGCAAAAAUAAAAACUAACUCACUUUCGCAGGAAUCGCGAUUGCAUUUACCGUAUGCAAUAAGGCUUUAAACCCCUAGGUGGCCCUAGUGGACGAGUUUUGUCUCGUGAGGAUUUCCGGCUCAGAUACCCACAAACUGCGGUCUCUACCCAGUUUAUUUUAUUGUUUUAUAAAAUCUAAUUUCAAAUGCAUAAGUGCCAAGAAUUUCAAAAACACACAAAGUUUUAUUACUAAGUCAGCCCAAAUCCUAGGUCAAGAUGCAACUUAAGUUGAAGUCAUUAAGUUUCCGUUAGAGAGUUGUAAGGCUAAUUUAUACUUGGGUGCUCA